CAUACAGGAACGACAUCCUGAAGUGAGGUGGAAGUUUGAGGUUAUUUUCGGUUAAACCUCAAAACAUUUCAAAUGCUGUAAACAAUCAGAGUAAACAACAGUAUUUGAUACAUUUAUGUGUUCUAUAGCGAGUAAGCCUUAAUUGCGAAAAUGGAUGCCAGCAGAACCAGCCACAUAAAGGAGGCCCAAGCGACUCUGAGCACCAUUUUAAAGAUAUCGGACCUGCUAAACACCGGUCUUAAUGCAGAGGCGUUAACUCUAUGCGUGAGACUUUGCGAGAUGGGGGUCAAUCCUGAGCGAUUGGCUUCACUAGUCAAAGACCUGCAGAAUGAGAUAGCGGAGUAUCAAAAUCAAAUCGAAUCUAUAUCUGGCUCAUCUAAGAACGUUCGUUCGGAUGACCAUUAGAGCUAGCUUUCGGGGCCAACGCUAUUAAAAUUAAAUGUCCUUCAAGGGUGGAUAAGGAUGAAAGCCAGUUGUUCUGUUUAACAAUAUAUUUGUUCAACUAAUGAAGUCGAGUUUGAAAUACAAGGCAAUAACAAGAAUGGAUCAAGCGCAACGCCCCCUAAUAUUCCAAUUAAUUGCUUUGAAUAACUUUCACUUCGCACUCACACACUGUGAUGUGCGUUAUCACUGCAACGUCCAUUUGUGCCCACUUACUGAAUUAAUAUCCAAAAGACAAACAAUAAAUAUUUAACAGAU